rnacentral:sRNA from 1 species
CUCUGUCUCUUCUUCUUCCUCUUCUUG